rnacentral:rRNA from 1 species
ACGCUGGCGGCAGGCUUAACACAUGCAAGUCGAACGGUAACAGGGAUUAGCUUGCUAAUUUGCUGACGAGUGGCGGACGGGUGAGUAAUGCUUGGGAAUCUGGCUUAUGGAGGGGGAUAACUACGGGAAACUGUAGCUAAUACCGCGUAAUAUCGGAAGAUUAAAGGGUGGGACUUUCGAGCCACCUGCCAUAAGAUGAGCCCAAGUGGGAUUAGGUAGUUGGUUAGGUAAAGGCUGACCAAGCCGACGAUCUCUAGCUGGUCUGAGAGGAUGACCAGCCACACUGGAACUGAGACACGGUCCAGACUCCUACGGGAGGCAGCAGUGGGGAAUAUUGCACAAUGGGGGGAACCCUGAUGCAGCCAUGCCGCGUGAAUGAAGAAGGCCUUCGGGUUGUAAAGUUCUUUCGGCGACGAGGAAGGUUGAUAGGUUAAUAGCCUAUCAAAUUGACGUUAAUCACAGAAGAAGCACCGGCUAACUCCGUGCCAGCAGCCGCGGUAAUACGGGGGGUGCGAGCGUUAAUCGGAAUAACUGGGCGUAAAGGGCACGCAGGCGGUGACUUAAGUGAGAUGUGAAAGCCCCGAGCUUAACUUGGGAAUUGCAUUUCAUACUGGGUCGCUAGAGUACUUUAGGGAGGGGUAGAAUUCCACGUGUAGCGGUGAAAUGCGUAGAGAUGUGGAGGAAUACCGAAGGCGAAGGCAGCCCCUUGGGAAUGUACUGACGCUCAUGUGCGAAAGCGUGGGGAGCAAACAGGAUUAGAUACCCUGGUAGUCCACGCUGUAAACGAUGUCGAUUUGGGGAUUGGGCUUUGAGCUUGGUGCCCGUAGCUAACGUGAUAAAUCGACCGCCUGGGGAGUACGGCCGCAAGGUUAAAACUCAAAUGAAUUGACGGGGGCCCGCACAAGCGGUGGAGC